rnacentral:rRNA from 1 species
CAAGGCAGUUAAAAUGCUUUGUAAUUGGAAUGAUAGAAAUUUAAACACUUUUUAAAGUAUCAAUUGGAGGGCAAGUCUGGUGCCAGCAGCCGCGGUAAUUCCAGCUCCAAUAGCGUAUAUUAAAAUUGUUGCAGUUAAAAAGCUCGUAGUUGAAUUUCUGCUAAAAAUAACCGGUCUGCUUUUAAUAAAGGUGGUAUCUUGGUGUGUUUUUAGCAAUAAUGUCCUUUGAAAUGUUUUUUACUUCAUUGUAAUAAAUUAUAUUUAGGAUUUUUACUUUGAGAAAAUUAGAGUGUUUCUAGCAGGCUAAUGCUUUGAAUACUGCAGCAUGGAAUAAUAAAAUAGGAUUUUGGUUCUACAUUAUUGGUUUUAAGAGCUAAAUUAAUGAUUGAUAGGGACAGUUGGGGGCAUUUGUAUUUAACUGUCAGAGGUGAAAUUCUUAGAUUUGUUAAAGACAAACUACUGCGAAAGCAU